rnacentral:rRNA from 1 species
UACAGAGGGGGCGAGCGUUAUUCGGAAUUAUUGGGCGUAAAGGGCGCGUAGGCGGCUUUUCAAGUGACGGGUGAAAUCCCUCGGCUUAACCGAGGAACUGCCUGUCAGACUGGAAGGCUUGAGACCGGGAGAGGUGAGUGGAAUUCCCAGUGUAGCGGUGAAAUGCGUAGAUAUUAGGAAGAACACCAGUGGCGAAGGCGGCUCACUGGUCCGGUACUGACGCUGAUGUGCGAAAGCGUGGGGAGCAAACAGG